AUGAACGCUGGCGGCGUGCCUAAUACAUGCAAGUCGAGCGAACAGACGAGGAGCUUGCUCCUCUGACGUUAGCGGCGGACGGGUGAGUAACACGUGGAUAACCUACCUAUAAGACUGGGAUAACUUCGGGAAACCGGAGCUAAUACCGGAUAAUAUAUUGAACCGCAUGGUUCUAUAGUGAAAGACGGUUUUGCUGUCACUUAUAGAUGGAUCCGCGCCGCAUUAGCUAGUUGGUAAGGUAACGGCUUACCAAGGCAACGAUGCGUAGCCGACCUGAGAGGGUGAUCGGCCACACUGGAACUGAGACACGGUCCAGACUCCUACGGGAGGCAGCAGUAGGGAAUCUUCCGCAAUGGGCGAAAGCUUGACGGAGCAACGCCGCGUGAGUGAUGAAGGUCUUCGGAUCGUAAAACUCUGUUAUUAGGGAAGAACAAAUGUGUAAGUAACUAUGCACGUCUUGACGGUACCUAAUCAGAAAGCCACGGCUAACUACGUG
rnacentral:rRNA from 1 species